UAAAAACGCCAUAUCUCCCAAACCACUUGGAGUUUCUGACUCUACUUUUUUUUAAAUGAAACUAGACUCAAAUACCUUUCGUUUGGUAUGAGUCUGGAGUCCAGGAGAUGUCGGAGUCAGAACGUGUUAAAUUUUGAAGUUGAGUCAGUGGGAAAACAGAGCAUGUUUUGUUGAUGUUUGCUUGUAUUUUCUUAUGUGCCUUAUGUGUUUAUGUUGCCUAAGUGUUUGAAUGAGAUUAGACGAGUCUUAUAUGAGAGAUAAAUCGAGACUUAGAACCAUGAUUUUCUUGAACCCUAUCCUUGGACUUAAGGAUUUGAAAUGAGUGAAGAGUUUAUGUAGAGUUGAUUAAGAGAUAGAAUAUAAUAUAGAGCAUGAGUUGAGGCAUGAGUUUUUGUCGUUGAGUUUCUAAUCGGGAUUCAUUUUAUGACAUGAACCUUCGAUGAUGACGAUGAUCCCUGAAGACACGAGCAGAGCAAGGAAGUAAGUAACUCCACUUUGACGGGAGUUUUUGAGUAAGGUCUUCAGGCUAAGCAAGGAGUGAGAUUGGUCUGGUGCUGGUGGGGGAUCGUUAGAUGACGUAUUUACUUUAUCGUAUUUCCUUUUUAUCGAUAAAGUCUUGAUGUGAAGUUACUUUAAAUAUGAAUCAAGUAAUAUACUCACGGUUAUGUGUCUCCAUACAUGUAACUGGUUCGCCUUUUGCUGCGAUACUCUGCAUAUUAUGUUUCCUUAUGAAAAAUAAGCUAUACCUGUUUUGUUUUUGUUCGUGAAAUUCCUGAUAAUUGAAAAGUUACAACGACGUUGACGAUUUUACCCUUGGGUUCAAUUAAUGAUAUUUUCCUUAGCAUGCUUUGAUGUGAGCUUCCGCUUGAUGUUCGACCUACUCUUCUAUUCCUUUAUUCUUUAAAAAUAGUCGUAUCGAUACUCGUACCCCACUAUUACUAGUGUCGGGAUUUCGGGCUGCGACAGGGUGGUAUCAGAGCAGGUCAUCUGCUCUGAGUCUAUUGCUUGACUGAGUUGAAUCUUUGAUUACUGGUAUCUUUUUAAAUUGAGUACUAGUCUAAUUUGAAUUCUUAGGCUAGUUUGAGAGAGUCAGUUUGAAACGAAACCCCAGCACCCCAUCUCCUCCGGCUUAACGAGGUAAGAGGUUGAUGUUGUUUCUUAUUGCUUUUCUGUUAAAAGCUGAGUUUGGGUUACUAAUGAGUUAUGAAUUGUUUUGAUGACGGAAUUAUUUGAGAUGAUGGAAUCUGAUAUGAGGCAGUUGAUGUGGAAUAUGAGGAGGAAUGUUGAGGCUAGUAUAGCCGAUGCCCCACCGUACCAAACAAGGACGAGAUGCCGAGUCAUAUCGAGACAGCGAUGCAGCGAUGGUUCAGGGAGUAUAUCCCGGACGAGGAUGACACCUUGGGUGAACUUCUAGCACACUAUCACCGACGAUGGAGGAGGGCUAUUCCCUAUGGGAUCGAUGGCGCGGAGGCCAUUACGCUUUUGAUUCCACUACUGCCACCUUUGUGGCGAGACUGGGCGACAUCUUUAGUGCCCCAGUACGUAGAUACUACCUGGUUGGAGGGCAUCAGGUACGGAGACCUUAGUGGCUUCAUCGCGACGCUGAGCCACCGUUAUUUUGCUUAUGGCGAUCCGCCUUCACCGCCGUAUGGAGAGCUUGAGGGACCAGUCCAGGGAAGGGAGCUAGUUGUUGUGCCUCCACCUCUCGAGGAGCCGAUUCUGAUGGCACCUCUACCCCCAGCUGAUCCGAUUUCAG